rnacentral:pre_miRNA from 1 species
AAAAAAUAAAAACCUAAAUUUUCGUGUCCAACAUUUGACCGUCCGUCCUAUUUAAAAAAAAAUAAAAAGACAAGUCACGCAUAAAGUAUUAAUCAUGUUUUAUCAUCUAACAACAAUGAAAAUACUAAUUAUAAAAAAAAUUUCAAAUAAGACAGACAAUCAAAUGUUAGACAUGGAAACUCAGGGUUUGUCUUUUU